GGCCGGUGGAGAAGCCCGGAGCCGCGCCGCCGUUGACGUCGGCCGAGAGGAAGCCGUUGUAGCGCAUGGCGCGCUCGGGUCCCGCGCUGGGCU
rnacentral:tRNA from 1 species